GUUUGCCCAUGCCUGCCUUAAAGCCACCAUAUCCCAUCUGACCUUGGAAGCUAAGCAGGGUAAGCCUUGGUUAUUACUUGGAUUGGAAACCAUCAAUGAAUACUAGCUGCUGCAAGUU
rnacentral:rRNA from 1 species